AUUGAACGCUGGCGGCAUGCUUUACACAUGCAAGUCGAACGGUAACAGGCCGCAAGGUGCUGACGAGUGGCGAACGGGUGAGUAAUAUAUCGGAACGUGCCCAGUCGUGGGGGAUAACGCAGCGAAAGCUGUGCUAAUACCGCAUACGAUCUCUGGAUGGAAGCGGGGGACCGCAAGGCCUCGCGCAAUUGGAGCGGCCGAUAUCAGAUUAGCUAGUUGGUGGGGUAAAAGCUUACCAAGGCGACGAUCUGUAGCUGGUCUGAGAGGACGACCAGCCACACUGGAACUGAGACACGGUCCAGACCCCUACGGGAGGCAGCAGUGGGGAAUUUUGGACAAUGGGCGCAAGCCUGAUCCAGCAAUGCCGCGUGCAGGAUGAAGGCCUUCGGGUUGUAAACUGCUUUUGUACGGAACGAAACGGCCCUUUCUAAUACAAAGGGCUAAUGACGGUACCGUAAGAAUAAGCACCGGCUAACUACGUGCCAGCAGCCGCCGUAAGAC
rnacentral:rRNA from 1 species